UACAGAGGUCUCAAGCGUUGUUCGGAUUCAUUGGGCGUAAAGGGUGCGUAGGCGGCGUGGUAAGUCGGGUGUGAAAUCUCGGGCUUAACUCCGAAACUGCAUUCGAUACUGCCGUGCUUGAGGACUGGAGAGGAGACUGGAAUUUACGGUGUAGCGGUGAAAUGCGUAGAUAUCGUAAGGAAGACCAGUGGCGAAGGCGGGUCU
rnacentral:rRNA from 1 species